rnacentral:snoRNA from 1 species
CUGCAGCCAAUUAAGCCGACUGUGCUCUUUGUCUAUGAGGGCCCAGUGUGCCAUAGCUGCAAACAGUAGCCUCCUCAGUAGUGUAUGCAACCUGUUGAUUGUAUGGGUUGCCCUAAGGGACCUUGGAGACAACC